UACGAAGGGGGCUAGCGUUGCUCGGAGUCACUGGGCGUAAAGAGCUCGUAGGCGGCCUGUUGCGUCCGCUGUGAAAUCCCGGGGCUCAACCCCGGGCGUGCAGUGGAUACGGGCUGGCUGGAGGCAGGCAGGGGAGAACGGAAUUCCUGGUGUAGCGGUGAAAUGCGCAGAUAUCAGGAGGAACACCGGUGGCGAAGGCGGUUCUCUGGGCCUGUACUGACGCUGAGGAGCGAAGGCGUGGGGAGCGAACAGG
rnacentral:rRNA from 1 species